rnacentral:rRNA from 1 species
UACCCCCUUCGGGGCCGCAGCUAACGCAUUAAGGACUCCGCCUGGGAAGUACGCUCGCAAGAGUGAAACUCAAAGGAAUGGACGGGGACCCGCACAAGUAGCGGAGCAUGUGGUUUAAUUCGAAGCAACGCGAAGAACCUUACCUAAGCUUGACAUCCCAAUGACAUCUCCUUAAUCGGAGAGUUCCCUUCGGGGACAUUGGUGACAGGUGGUGCAUGGUUGUCGUCAGCUCGUGUCGUGAGAUGUUGGGUUAAGUCCCGCAACGAGCGCAACCCUUGUCUUUAGUUGCCAUCAUUAAGUUGGGCACUCUAGAGAGACUGCCAGGGAUAACCUGGAGGAAGGUGGGGAUGACGUCAAAUCAUCAUGCCCCUUAUGCUUAGGGCUACACACGUGCUACAAUGGGUAGUACAGAGGGUUGC